rnacentral:rRNA from 1 species
UACAGAGGUCUCAAGCGUUGUUCGGAUUCAUUGGGCGUAAAGGGUGCGUAGGCGGCGCGGUAAGUCGGGUGUGAAAUUUCGAGGCUUAACUUCGAAACUGCAUUCGAUACUGCCGUGCUAGAGGACUGGAGAGGAGACUGGAAUUUACGGUGUAGCGGUGAAAUGCGUAGAUAUCGUGAGGAAGACCAGUGGCGAAGGCGAGUCUCUGGACAGUUCCUGACGCUGAGGCACGAAGGCCAGGGGAGCAAACGGG